rnacentral:rRNA from 1 species
ACAGCUAAUAAGUCAGGUCAAGGUGUAGCUAACUGAGAUGGAAGAAAUGGGCUACAUUUUCUAAACUAGAAAUUAYCUCACAGAAAGAAYCAUGAAACAGAUUCYAYAAGYAGGAUUUAGCAGUAAAUAAGAAUCAGAAUGUCUAAUUUAAGCUGGACUCRAGGCACGCACACACCGCCCGUCACCCUCCUCAAGYCAACACUAACCAUAAAUAAGACCACAACAGACAAACAGAUGAGGCAAGUCGUAACAAGGUAAGUAUACCGGAAGGUGUACUUGGAAAAUU